rnacentral:rRNA from 1 species
GACGAACGCUGGCGGCGUGCGUAAUACAUGCAAGUCGAGAGAAGUUUUUCUGGUGCUUGCACUAGAAAAACUUAGCGGCGAACGGGUGAGUAACACGUAAAGAACCUGCGUCAUAGACUGGGACAAGUAUAGGAAACGAUAGAUAAUACCGGAUAACAGUAUUUCUCGCGUGAGAGAUAUCUAAAAGUUGGUUAUCCUAACACUAUGAGAUGGCUCUGCGGUGCAUUAGCUAGUUGGUGGGGUAAAGGCCCACCAAGGCGACGAUGCAUAGCCGACCUGAGAGGGUGAUCGGCCACACUGGGACUGAGACACGGCCCAGACUCCUACGGGAGGCAGCAGUAGGGAAUCUUCCGCAAUGGGCGAAAGCCUGACGGAGCAACGCCGCGUGAGUGAAGAAGGAUUUCGGUUCGUAAAGCUCUGUUGUUAGGGAAGAAAGGAUAUGUAGUAACUAUACAUGUAAGAGACGGUACCUAACCAGAAAGCCACGGCUAACUACGUGCCAGCAGCCGCGGUAAUACGUAGGUGGCAAGCGUUGUCCGGAAUUAUUGGGCGUAAAGCGCGCGCAGGUGGUUUAAUAAGUCUGAUGUGAAAGCCCACGGCUCAACCGUGGAGGGUCAUUGGAAACUGUUAAACUUGAGUGCAGGAGAGAAAAGUGGAAUUCCUAGUGUAGCGGUGAAAUGCGUAGAGAUUAGGAGGAACACCAGUGGCGAAGGCGGCUUUUUGGCCUGUAACUGACACUGAGGCGCGAAAGCGUGGGGAGCAAACAGG